UACGUAGGGUGCAAGCGUUGUCCGGAAUUAUUGGGCGUAAAGAGCUCGUAGGCGGUCUGUCGCGUCGGAUGUGAAAACACGGGGCUCAACCCCGUGCCUGCAUUCGAUACGGGCAGACUAGAGUUCGGUAGGGGAGACUGGAAUUCCUGGUGUAGCGGUGAAAUGCGCAGAUAUCAGGAGGAACACCGGUGGCGAAGGCGGGUCUCUGGGCCGAUACUGACGCUGAGGAGCGAAAGCGUGGGGAGCGAACAGG
rnacentral:rRNA from 1 species